rnacentral:rRNA from 1 species
ACGAACGCUGGCGGCGUGCUUCACCCCUGCCAGUCGCACGGAAAGGCCCUGCUUUUGUGGGGUGCUCGAGUGGCGAACGGGUGAGUAACACGUGAGUAACCUGCCCAUGACUUUGGGAUAACUUCAGGAAACUGGGGCUAAUACCGGAUAGGAGCUCCUGCUGCAUGGUGGGGGUUGGAAAGUUUCGGCGGUUGGGGAUGGACUCGCGGCUUAUCAGCUUGUUGGUGGGGUAGUGGCUUACCAAGGCUUUGACGGGUAGCCGGCCUGAGAGGGUGACCGGCCACAUUGGGACUGAGAUACGGCCCAGACUCCUACGGGAGGCAGCAGUGGGGAAUAUUGCACAAUGGGCGGAAGCCUGAUGCAGCAACGCCGCGUGCGGGAUGACGGCCUUCGGGUUGUAAACCGCUUUCGCCUGUGACGAAGCGUGAGUGACGGUAAUGGGUAAAGAAGCACCGGCUAACUACGUG